rnacentral:rRNA from 1 species
UACGGAGGGGGCUAGCGUUGUUCGGAAUUACUGGGCGUAAAGCGCACGUAGGCGGCUUUGUAAGUUAGAGGUGAAAGCCCGGGGCUCAACUCCAGAACUGCCUUUAAGACUGCAUCGCUUGAACACGGGAGAGGUGAGUGGAAUUCCGAGUGUAGAGGUGAAAUUCGUAGAUAUUCGGAAGAACACCAGUGGCGAAGGCGGCUCACUGGACCGUUGUUGACGCUGAGGUGCGAAAGCGUGGGGAGCAAACAGG